UCCCUGAUGGCCCAGCGGUUAGGACUCCAUGCUCCCAAAGCAGGGGACCCGGGUUCAAUCCCCGGUCAGGGAA
rnacentral:tRNA from 1 species